GUGCCAGCCGCCGCGGUAAUACCGGCAGCCCGAGUGAUGGCCGAUCUUAUUGGGCCUAAAGCGUCCGUAGCUGGCUGCGCAAGUCCGUCGGGAAAUCCACUCGCCCAACGAGUGGGCGUCCGGCGGAAACUGUCCGGCUUGGAGCCGGAAGAUCCGAGGGGUACGUCCGGGGUAGGAGUGAAAUCCCGUAAUCCUGGACGGACCGCCGGUGGCGAAAGCGCCUCGGAAGAACGGACUCGACAGUGAGGGACGAAAGCUAGGGUCUCGAACCGGAUUAGAUACCCGAGUAGUCC
rnacentral:rRNA from 1 species